rnacentral:rRNA from 1 species
ACGCAUUUGUUUCCCGUCCGAAGGACCCCGCAACCGGUUCGGAAACGGCUUUAAGGAUCCGUGAUGGCAGUUGGCCGGUGGCUCGUCUCGUGCGGGCCGUCGGUUGUUAGCCGUCGGGUCUUGGCUCGUGGCCGGACCGUGGUGUCGCGAGGCCCUCUUGGGCUUCUUCGCCUCCUCCGUUCGCGGACGCCGGGAUCCCGUGGCAGGGGUUCGCACUUCUGCGGGCGCACGGACUGACUCCGUGGCCCAGCGGUCGCAUGCGUCCUCGUUGGCUGCGGUGAACCCGUCGGAGGUUGGCGGUUCGCGGGGAGUAGAUCGGUCACCCACCCGACCCGUCUUGAAACACGGACCAAGGAGUCUAACAUGUGUGCGAGUCAAUGGGUCUCGAUUAAGCCCAGAGGCGCAAUGAAAGCAAAGGCAGGACUCGACGCCUGCCGAGUUGGGAUCCUCCUUCCUUCGCGUCGGAGGCGCACCAACGACCCGUCCUGUCCCAUUUAUGGGUUGGGCGGAGUUUGAGCAUACACGUUGGGACCCGAAAGAUGGUGAACUAUGCCCGGGCA